rnacentral:rRNA from 1 species
UACGUAGGGUGCAAGCGUUAAUCGGAAUUACUGGGCGUAAAGCGUGCGCAGGCGGUUAUGCAAGACAGAUGUGAAAUCCCCGGGCUCAACCUGGGAACUGCAUUUGUGACUGCAUGGCUAGAGUACGGUAGAGGGGGAUGGAAUUCCGCGUGUAGCAGUGAAAUGCGUAGAUAUGCGGAGGAACACCGAUGGCGAAGGCAAUCCCCUGGACCUGUACUGACGCUCAUGCACGAAAGCGUGGGGGGCAAACAGG